rfam:Pteropus alecto contig46597, whole genome shotgun sequence.
GUCUAUGGCCAUGCUACCCUGAACAAGCCCCAUCUCAUCUGAUCUUGGAAGCUAAGUAGCGUCAGGCCUAAUAGUACCUGGAUGGGAGACCACCUAGAAAAACCAGGUGCUGUAAGCG